UACGUAGGGUCCGAGCGUUGUCCGGAAUUAUUGGGCGUAAAGAGCUCGUAGGCGGUCUGUCGCGUCGGCUGUGAAAACACGGGGCUCAACUCCGUGCCUGCAGUCGAUACGGGCAGACUAGAGUUCGGUAGGGGAGACUGGAAUUCUUGGUGUAGCGGUGAAAUGCGCAGAUAUCAGGAGGAACACCGGUGGCGAAGGCGGCUUCCUGGACUGUCCCUGACGCUGAGGCGCGAAGGUCAGGGGAGCAAACGGG
rnacentral:rRNA from 1 species